GGAAGGUCCGGGCGUUAUCCGGAUUUAUUGGGUUUAAAGGGAGCGCAGGCGGACCUUUAAGUCAGCUGUGAAAUACGGCGGCUCAACCGUCGAACUGCAGUUGAUACUGGAGGUCUUGAGUGCACACAGGGAUGCUGGAAUUCAUGGUGUAGCGGUGAAAUGCUCAGAUAUCAUGAAGAACUCCGAUCGCGAAGGCAGGCAUCCGGGGUGCAACUGACGCUGAGGCUCGAAAGUGCGGGUAUCGAACAGGAUUAGAUACCCUGGUAGUCCGCACGGUAAACGAUGGAUGCCCGCUGUUGGUCUGAAUAGGUCAGCGGCCAAGCGAAAGCAUUAAGCAUCCCACCUGGGGAGU
rnacentral:rRNA from 1 species